ensembl:processed_transcript
GAGCCCAGUGCUCUCUUCUCUAUUUGCCUCACAUUUCUUUCUGUUGAUUGUUGUCUCUGUGGAAAGUCAGAGCUGGGAGCAGGGGCUAUGAAGUUGAGCACAUAGGUGGAGCGUUAGGGGGAGGGAGAUAAAUGAGGCCAUACUAUUGCAAUCACUUGGAAAAAUAUACAAAAACUUCCCAAACUACAAGAUGCUUUCUACUGCCACCAGACAUCCUUUGGAGGUUUUCCUACCGGUUAAUAACCAGGGACUUGUUGGCAUUUGACAGAGCAUCUUGGGUUUCUUACAUAAAAUGUGGAAUUGUCAACAGUCAGACCCUUCAAUGGCCAAGGCUGUGGUGCACAGUUUCUAUCAGCUUGUAUAGGAUAUCCUGCCUGGUUUUGGCCUCAGGGGAGCAAUGGUGAGAUUUCAUAGCUCACUGUCUUCUGGUUGAAGCAAAGGGUACCAAACAGAGGUCAAGCUUGGACCUCCUCAGUGAAGCUGGGACAAUCCAUUCACGUGUGAGGAGUACAGUGGAUUUCUGAAAAGCUGCUUUCCGUGUCUUCUUAUAGGAUACGGUAACAGCUCCUUACUGGAAGAACAUUUUUAGGUAAUCUCCACGACAGGGUGACGUACACUGAUAUUUGAGCAUUUAAAUAAAAAGAGUCUCACUGUGUA